CCAGAACCUCUGGAUGUGACGUUCAUGGAACACGACCUGGAUCAGAGGGCAGACGAGCACACGUCAGAGCAGAGACGAUAAAACCGUACGCUGUGACGAGAAGACGGCGUCCGCGUCAUACGUUGUUGUGGAUGAAGAGGCGGAGCUUAGCGCUCGGGUAGUUGAGUGUCACCAGUCGCUCCAGGAACUCCUCCAUGAAGGGAGUGGCGUGUUCGAUGAAGACCGCCACGUAGACCAGAGGCAUCUCCUCGUCCUGGAGACACACGGUUCACACACACACACAAGCGACAAAAGGCUCCGCCCAUUUCACUUUACAGAAAUAAAAAGUGCGAUUCGCGACACAACCGUCGUAGCGGAUGUUUGUCGUUUACCUUGGUCGGUCCGUUGCCAUGGAUAACGACAGGAAGUGUGUCGAAGGCGACGUUCCUCACUCUGACCUUUGCCCUCUCGAACUUCAGGACGACUUCAUCUGUCAGAGAACACGAGGGAAAAAGUGUAAGAGGUUGUUUUUUCGUGCUUAAAUUAUAGAGAAGGUAAGUGUGCGUGUGUGUGUGUGUGUGUGUGUGUGUGUGUCUCACCAACAGCUCCGUUCAGAUUCUGGAAAAUUCUGGAGCGAUGAUCCAACGUCAUGUUGAACUUGGUCUGAAGAGACAAAUGUUACAGUAAAGCAACAGAGCUGCAUGUGUCGCGUGUCGUGUGCUGUUCGUUCACCCGCUGCUUCUUGUCCAGGUAAAUCUUGGUGUAGAAGAGCUGGUCGUCGUCGUUGUCCUUGUAUUUCCACAGCUGCACCAUCUCACUGAGUUCUGGAGCGAAGCCGAUGAAUCCUGAACACAAACACAGACACACCCACGUUUCUCUCUUUAUUUCACCUCCAGGUAAACGGUGAGUGAAUCAAAUUGGGCUUUGGUUUCUGACCUCCUGA